rnacentral:rRNA from 1 species
UACGGAGGGGGCAAGCGUUAUUCGGAAUUAUUGGGCGUAAAGGGCGCGUAGGCGGCUAGAUGUGUCAAAGGUGAAAUCCCUCGGCUCAACUGAGGAACUGCCUUUGAAACUGUCUGGCUUGAGGCCGGGAGAGGGUAGCGGAAUUCCCAGUGUAGCGGUGAAAUUCGUAGAUAUCGGGAGGAACACCAGUGGCGAAGGCGGCGAUCUGGGAAGAUACUGACGCUGAGGUGCGAAAGCGUGGGGAGCGAACGGG